UACGUAGGGGGGCAAGCGUUUGUCCGGAUUGACUGGGCGUAAAGGGCGCGUAGGCGGUUCGUACAGUCAGACGUGAAAUUCCUGGGCUCAACCUGGGGGCUGCGUUUGAUACGUGCGGACUUGAGUGCGGAAGAGGGUCGUGGAAUUCCCAGUGUAGAGGUGAAAUUCGUAGAUAUUGGGAAGAACACCGGUGGCGAAGGCGGCGACCUGGUCCGAUACUGACGCUGAGCGCGAAAGCGUGGGGAGCAAACAGG
rnacentral:rRNA from 1 species